rnacentral:rRNA from 1 species
AUUGAACGCUGGCGGCAUGCUUUACACAUGCAAGUCGAACGGUAACAGGCCUUCGGGUGCUGACGAGUGGCGAACGGGUGAGUAAUGCAUCGGAACGUGCCCAAUCGUGGGGGAUAACGUAGCGAAAGUUACGCUAAUACCGCAUAAGCCCUGAGGGGGAAAUGGGGGACCGCAAGGCCUCACGCGAAUGGAGCGGCCGAUGUCAGAUUAGCUAGUUGGUAGGGUAAAGGCCUACCAAGGCGACGGAUCUGUAGCUGGUCUGAGAGGAUGGCCAGCCACACUGGAACUGAGACACGGUCCAGACUCCUACGGGAGGCAGCAGUGGGGGAAUCUUGCGCGAAUGGGGGCAACCCUGACGCAGCCAUGCCGCGUGAAUGAUGAAGGCCUUAGGGUUGUAAAGUCUUUUGCCCGUGACGAUGAUGACGGUAACGGGAGAAUAAGCUCCGGCUAACUUCGUGCCAGCAGCCGCGGUAAUGUAGU